AUUCAGCGAGGCCUCAUGGAAGAUGACGCUGAGCCCAUCUUCGAGGACGUGAUGAUGUCUUCACGCGGUCAGCUAGAGGACAUGAAUGAGGAAUUCGAGGACACCAUGGUGAUAGAUUUGCCAGCGUCGAGAAACCGGAGAGAAAGAGCUGAACUCAGACCAGACUUUUUUGACUCUACGGCCAUAAUGGAAGAUGAUUCUGGAUUCGGAAUGCAGAUGUUUUGAGAGAGAUUUCAGCCUUUAUGGGGAUCACAACCAGCAACCUACAAGAAUCACAUCUUAAAU